rnacentral:tRNA from 1 species
GAGGGUAUAGCUCAGCAGUAGAGCACAUGCCUAGCAUGUACAAGGUCCCGGGUUCAAUCCCCAGUACCUCCA